rnacentral:lncRNA from 1 species
GCACUAUUGAAAUUAGCCAGUAAGGAUAAAGCUUUCACAUCAGUACCAGCUUGUUACAUAUCCUGUAACGAAAGUGUAUGGUACCUCUUAUAAGAGCAUCAUAUUGUCAAAGAACUAUGAAAGUGUCGACUCUUGGGCUUGCUGAGAGUGAGUCCCAAAACCUAGUAAUUGUGUGGAUGAUAUUUCUGUAUGUCAAUGGAGGACCUCAGCAGAAUAUAGUUUUCCCAUUACCAACGAUUAAUCCAACCAUUGUCAGAGACAUUUACACACAUAUUUAGCAUGUGGCUCCUGAGUUGGUAAAACUGCUUCCCCUUUUUUUUUUUUUUUUAAAGGAUAUGGAGGUGGUUUUAAUGAAAGAGAGAAUGUUGAAUACAUAGAAAGAGAAGAAUCUGAUGGGGAAUAUGAUGAGUUUGGACGUAAAAAGAAAAAAUACAGGGGGAAGGCAGUUGGUCCUGCAUCUAUAUUAAAGGAAGUCGAAGAUAAAGAAUCAGAGGGAGAAGAAGAGGAUGAGGAUGAAGAUCUCUCUAAAUAUAAGCUAGAUGAGGACGAGGAUGAAGAUGAUGCUGAUCUCUCAAAAUAUAAUCUUGAUGCCAGUGAAGAGGAAGAUAGUAAC